GGUUCGAGUCAGGAGCAGCCUGUGAUCUCAUCCACUGUGUCUCUUUAGUGUCCUCUGCUCUGUGAGUUUUCUCAGUCUUGUUUUUAUGACCCUGACAGUUUUGAAGAGUACUGGUAAGAUAUUUUACAGAAUGUCCCUCAGUUUGGGUUUGUCUGGUGUUUUCUUAUGGUUAUUCUGGGGUUAUGGGUUUUUAGGAAGAAUACUACAGAGGUGACGCGCGCUUCCCACUAUGUCCGGUCAAGGCUGUGUGAUCGGACCAUGACUGGUCACAGGAGAUGUUAACAUUGCUCGUUCGGUUAAGGUGGUGUCUGUUAGGUCUCUCCACGGUGAAGUUAUUUUUUCCCCUUUAUAUACUCUUUGUUAGGAGCUAGUCAUUACCCAGCACACAUGGGAUCGGGAGAGAUUAACCUCUAUCCCCUGGAGGAAGUCUUCCUUUCUUCUAGAGUUUUCCUCACUUCCAUGUCUUCUUGGGAAUAAGGGCUUUAAGAAUCAUAAGAUUAUUUUCCUUUGAAGCGAUGUUAAAGUUAUGCUGUUAAAGUUCAGAAAUUAAAUCUGUCCUGCACUUUGUUUAGAACAUUCUCCAUCUUUUAACAUGAGCUUGUAUGAUAGAGAGAGAGAGGGAGGGAGGAAGAGAGAGAUGGAUUUUCAUUUGGAGGGUUCUAAAGUUCUUGCUAUUUAUAUUAACUCCAGUACUACAGAUGCAAUACCCUUUCCUGAGCCGAAAGCAGUUUUAGCAACUGCCUAUUGUAUCUUAAGACAAGAGACCCAAUAGUAGUUUAAUUCACUUAACUGUAGAAUCAUAGACCACUAGGGCUAGGCACAAUCAUCUGCUCUGGUCUUCUCCCUUUACAGAUGGGGAAACUGAGGCACAGAGAGGCAGCAUGACUUUCCUGAGGUUGCUCAGCCAGUCAUUGGGAACCUGGGCCUCCUGCUUCUCAGGGUUCUUUUGCUGUAAAUCCCUCUCUGACCUCCCUAGUAACAGAGGGAAUUUACACUGUCUCCCCUCACCCCACCCUCACCCAUCCAGGCUCUCUCCAGGGCCUCCCAUUUCUCUCUGUAGAUCAGGAAUAAGACUUCUAUCCAGGCCAUACUUAGGAUAAUGCAGGACUGCAAACACCCUCACACCUCAGUCCCACUCAGCUCACACCCACCACCCUGAGGGCAGAAGGACCUCUCAGGCUUCAGCCACUUGCUUGCAUCCCAUCCCACUAACCUCAGCUGUGGCCUGCAAUUCCCAUAACUCUUGUAUCCAGGCUCUGCUAAGGGAUGGAGAUGCUGUGGUUUUAAAGUGGAAGCUCUCUAGUAAAUUUGGAGUUCAUUAUCAGAGACUGCUGUCCCGGCAAAAAGGAGGUCAAUUCCCAAAGAUGACCAAGCCCUCUUAAAGCCAUAGAGGGACUAAGCAAGUAGGUCUUAUCUUCUCAAGAGGUGGUAUGACUCAGAAGUUGCAUUUGGGAGAGGAAACAGGAAAAACAUUGACCCCUUCCUCUUACCACCCACUUCCCCUGGGGUUAGAAAGUGAAGGGGAGAACAUCUGACUGAAUUUGCCCUGCUCAUGAGACAUGUCAUUUCUCCAGGGAAGUUAAAGUGAAGCUUAAAGUCCCAUUGGGCUCCUGUGUUCAAAGGCAGUCCAAUGAUCAAAUUCAUAUGGGGAUGCUUUCUAGUGACUCCCUGGACAGUGAGGUUUACAGGAGGUCAGGGGAAGAGCUUUCUCAUGCCAGAGGCUAAGUGGUAUCCAGGGCUUCAGUCACAAUAUCUGGCUGGCUGGAUUUUUCACAUUGCCCAUUUGGACAGUCUUGGCUGCAGCUGGGGAGGCUACAGGAAGCAGAGCCGAAGGCAGUAAAAGCCUCCAUGGAAGCAGCUGCAACUGUGGCUUCAAGGGCACCUCCUGCAUGAGGCUUCUACAGAUUGGGCACGUGAUGACAUGAGUAAAGGUGGGGUUUGGCUGCCUCCGUUUCUCUCUGGGGUUGUGCCUCAUCCACAUAUCUCUCUUGGUCUGGGAUCUUCAGUAUUCAUGCCCUUUCCCGCCAUUAAAAUCUCUCAGGGAAGCUCAAGAACUCAUUUAUGUUAGCUUGUAAAUCACUGGCUCUGCACCAAAAUAUUAGACCUUUACAAGGAUCAUUGCUUUUUAAUAGGGAUAACGUGGUUCUCAACUUUGGCCAUGCAUCAAUAUCACUUAUCAUACAUUUAUAAAAUACAAAAGACUGGGCCCCACUCAAACUCUAUAAAAAACAAAAACAAAUAAACAAACAAACAAAAACCCCUCCAUAGGUGAAUCCCACUCACCACCAGGCCUGAAAGCCAUUCCUAGCUUAAGUGGAAAGGUGUCACUGUGUGAGUCCCAGACCAGCAGCAUCACCAUCACCUGGAACAUAGAAAUGCGAAUGUUCAGCCUGAAUGAGACCUCCUGAAUCAGAAACUCUGGAGCGAUCCCAAAGCAUCACUUGAAGCAUAGUGCCUUAAUGGCCUGAAAGCACUGUAUAUAAGAAAGAUUUCCCAAACAUUUGGCUGAAAUGUGGUGACAUUUCAAUUCUAUUCGGUAAGCACUAUUAGCAUUGGGAUACACCAUGAACAAGAGACACUGUCUAAAGCCUCAGGAUGUAGGAGAAAAAACAAACCAGUGAGAAGACCCCGCCUUAAAGAGGAGACAGAUGCCCUGUGAACACCUAUCAGUCAGCUUGAUCUGACUUCGGGGGCUCAGCCCUAGUUUCGUUUCUUUGAAUGAAAUGGCUUUAUGAGAGCUCUCUUCAGAGUUUGUAUGUUCUCAACACUGUUCCUAGCCAGUGGCAUGAAUAAAUCUACCUAUACUAAUUGAAAACUAGAUGUGGCAAACCACAGUAUAAAACACUGCUGGGCACCGUGGAAGAUGGGAAGGCUUGGUCCUUGCCUGUAAGAAACUAACAAUUGAGUAAUGAAAAUAAACAAAAACUCUUAACUCUUAAGUGUUCUUUGAAGACUCAAGCAACAUGUGAUUAAUUAUCAAAAAGUGAGGAAUUGAAUCAUAAACGCUCUAAAAGAAGGGUUAGAAAUGAUUUCAGGGAAGUGUACGUCUUGGGCAAGGCUUUGAAGGAUGCUGGGAGGUGGGUGGACCCACAUGCAUGGGAACACACUGAGGGCGGGAGUAGCGUGAGUUUUGGGCCUUGUGGUUGCAUCCACAUUUGUGGUUACAUUUGUCUUGAUUUUCAGGAAGGUCGACUGAACCUCAGACAUAAUGGAAAAGCAUAUUAGCUUUUGCUAAAAAACAAGGGGGUAGAGAAUGUUCCUGUCUUAAUUAGCAGGCACUUUUCUGGUGCACCUGCUGGAACUGCAGCAGGAUGGGGACAUGCGGGUAGACUUGACUGGGAAGGGAAAUGGGGCUGACUUGGGACAGGCCUGGGAAGGGCAGAGGGAACAGGGAGUGCUGUGGACCUUCCAUAACCCUGGCUGGUCACUCUGGAAAUCAAGGUGACUGGUUUUCAGAAUGUUACCUAAUGCCAAGGCAGUUUAGAAGUUACAUAUAACAGGAGGGACCAUUCUAAAAGCUCUAUCCCCAAAGCCCCAAGUCUUUGCCCCUUAGCACAGAGACAGCCUGCAUUUAUGUAGGAGUUCAGCUGCUCUGAAGGGGGCAUUGGCUCUGAACUGCUCUCAAGUCUCAAGUAUAAUUUGCUACUUGAUGGCCACCUGUCAUCAUCCUGGGCAGGGGCUGAGGAGGAGGUUGAAGGGCACAGGGGCUGAAACUGUGCUGCAACAGCAGCGUCACGUCUGGGCUGGGCCCAGAGAAGACAGGCAUGUCUCUGGGGUGGCUUCUGCGAGAUGCCUGUACCCGCUGGUGGACCAGGUUGAGGAGCUGUGCAAAGCGAUCAAGGUGAUGCAGGAGGCGUGCCUCCAAGUUUGGCUGGAAGACGUUUGUCUGCAGGGUGAGUUCAAAGGGGGCAUUGCCUAGGGCAGAGCAUCUCCAACUCUGUGUGUUUUCUGGAGAUGCUUGUGGGGCUGCCUGGACUGAGGGCAAGGGAAGACAAAGGAGUGGGAAGACCCCAAAGACAGCCUGUGGGCCCCACCUGCUCCCUUUUCACUGGAGCUGGAGCUUUUCUAUCUGCUUUAAGUUUUGGAGAACUGCUUAGUAAUUUAUUUGAAAAAGAAAAGAACAUUGCUGAUAGAAACCAGUUGAAAAUCUUUGUCAUUUGAACAGCCUUUUCACGAUAUGCUCUUUUGAUCCCUGCUACCAGGCUUCGAGGCAUGUCCCUAAAAUAGGGAAGGUCCCUGACUCUCUGACACACACAGGGGUGACAGUGCUGAGCCCAGGACCUGCUCAGUGUGUACCUACUCUGCUGGAGUGCUGGGAUGCGAGGCUCUGCUGGGGUCUCUGGGAGCAGGGAUGGGAGCAGGAGCCAGUGAACUGCCAGCAGGAGGAAGAACAAUGGGCUAGUGUGAGUGCUGCCUGAGGGGCCUGCGGAGGUGACAGUCCACCGGGGCUGCAGAGGCGUGUUUGUCCAGGCAGGAAGCCAUGUGGGACCUCAGGCCAGUCUCCCCUGGCACAGCUCCUGACCGCACCUGCAGCAGAGCCCCUGGGUGCCUUGAGGAUGGAGGAGCUGUUGCUGGAUGCCGAAGCCCAGCUGGCCUGGGCCAAUUUCUUCCUUACUUCCUGGUUGUGGUUCAGGACUGCCCUCUCUGCUCCAGGAAAAAUUCUCCAUUUUCAGGCCAUUUGGACUUCUUCCUUAGUCACUCCAUGAACUUACUAUCUGGGAGCCAGAUUUCCUGAGCUGGGGGCACUAAGUUCUAAUGAAAUGGCUUCUGAGGGGGAGAGGACUCAUGGACAGGGUCUCCAUUUAUAUAUGUGGAGUGAAUGAUUUUAUGAGCAUCUCAGGCUUUUCCACUCUACUGAGAUUAUUAGGCCAACAAAGAUAAGACCAUAUCUUGGUAAGUGGCAGUCGUUUUAUCACCAGGUGAUGCCUUCCUGGUGUCAGUUACUUGGGGACGAGGUCUGCCUCUCAGACCAGGUACAGGGCUGGGCACAAGUGUCUGAAGAGGAUGCUGAGGUGGGCCCAUAUGGAAAUAAACAGUAGAAAUGAAGAGGCCAUGGAGGUGGGCCAGACAUUGAUUUUCACACUAGGUAUGUGUUUCAUGCUGCUGUUAAAGCUAUACCCAAGACUGGGUAUUUUAUAAAGAAAAAGAGGUUUAAUGGACUCACAGUUCCACCUGGCUGGGGAGGCCUCACGAUCAUGACUGAAGGCAAAAGGCAUGCCUUACAUGGCAGCAGACAAUAGAAUGAGAACCAAGCUAAAGGGGUUCCCCCUUAUAAAACUAAACAGAUCUUGUAAGACUUAUUCACUGCCACGAGAACAGUAUGGGGGAAACUGCCCCUAUGAUUCCAUUGUCUGGUCUCUCCUACAACAUGUAGGAAUUAUGAGAGCUACAAUUCAAGAUGAGAUUUGGGUGGGGACACAGCCAAACCAUAUCAGUAUGGAAAGGGCAGGAAUUUUGAGCCACAGGAAUGGGCUGGCUACAGCAAGUUUAGAAAGCUGGACUUGUCAGCUUGACUUCUUCCCCGUGUCUGGUGUUCCCUGGGUCAUUCUAGUAUGCUCACUCUUGCUCGGUGCUUAGUAAUACAAUGGCCAUUUCCUGGUCCUCUACGAUUGUGGGGCUUCAUGGUAUGCCUUUUCAUGCAGUAUCUGAGUUGAUCCUUGUAACAGCCUGGUGAGGAACUAUUGCAUCUGUAUCUUACAGGUGAUGAAAUCAAGACACAGAGCAUUAGGUGAUUUUGCUCAAGGUUACAGUUUUAAGAGGUAGACCUGAGAUUUGAACGCAGAUCUAUUUAAUUCCAGAGAUCGACUUCUUCAUUGCUUUUUGCUAUGGAGUUUUUUAGACAGUACCAGUUUGUCUUGACUGUGCUGAGUAUUUCUAAGAGCAGAGUUCAAGUUCACAUUUGCACGGAGCUUUUCAAAGGGUAGUGGAGCUCCCAGAGUUCAAUCAGUAUGAAGUGGAGCUUGGGGACAGGUCAUGUCACUUGGUAAGUAAUCCGUCCCUCCUAGAGCAUCUCCCUCUCCUUCUCAUGCUAGACCUUCGGCAGUCUGGUUGUGCUUUAGUAACUGGGGAGUUUUUCCUCCUGGCUUCUCUCUGCAACCUCUUUCCAGAUGUCCCCAAAGCUGAGUGGCUAAAGAGGAAAUCGUGAUGGUGUAUCCUAUGUUUGGGACUAGAGUAGUAGAUUUCCAAAUAUACAGUUCUUUGGGUAACCGGCAUCCUGGAGACCUGUACUCAGCUACUGCUUGGCUUCAGCAUGUACUUCUCAGGCACCCAGGGGUUCUGGGCACCACAAUCCGUUGCUGCUGCUGCUGCUGCCCGAGUGUGCGGAGGGCUGAAAGGAACAGGUGUUCCAAUGCUGCCCUUUGCUUCGGUUGCUUUAAUCAGUCCAAGCUGAUAUCACACUCUCUGAUAGAUGAGUGCAUAUGACAAUCUAGAUUAGAUAAAGUGACUCAUAAUUUAUAAACUGUGAUUUAGCAAUCUGGUUCCUUGACUCAGAGUGAUAAGAGAUCUAGUGGAUUUGGAGGAAGCUUGCGGGGAGAUCCAGAUAGCAUCAUCCCACAGUGGUGUCCCUCCUAGGAAUCUUUGCACUCAUUGUUGAUGUAUAUGUUUAUGGAUCUAGGCGACUAUACGGUAUAGUCUGUCACCACUCUGUGGCGUAUUCUCAUACGUCUCUGUAGUAAAGGCAGUACCAUCAGACUCCCCUCAGGGCACAGGCUCAAGCCUAUCCAUGGGAUUGUAAGAAUGGCUGUCCCUUUCGUGUGUUUACUAUUUGCCAGGCACUGUUGUACUGUUUUAUGCACAUUCAGUAACCUAACCCUUAUAAGAAUUCUAUAAUGUACAUACUCAGAGGAGAUAAGAUUGGCUUGACUUUCAGGUCUGGGCUCUUAACUACCAAACUGUCACCACUGUUCAGGCUGGAAUGGAAUGUCUAUUCUCCCAAAAGCUCAGAGCCAAGCAGUGAGGGAUGAAGGAGCCAGGCGAGGCCCUGCUUUCUGAACAAGAUAGCUAGGUGUUAUAGAGGAGAACCAGAUGGUUCUCAUGUGUGAUCCCUGGACCAGCAGUCUCAGCAUCACUUCAGAAUUUGUUAGAAAUGCAAAUCCUCCAGCCCUGUCCUGGACCUGCCAAAUCAGAAACUCUGGAAAUGGUAAUUUGGAUGCAUAAUAAAGUUUGAAACUCACUGGAAAAGGGAAGCUGGAGGCUAGGUUCUAGGUCUAUCUCUGCCCUUGCCUAGCCAGGUAACCAUAGGCAGGUAAUUUCAUCUCUCUGGUCCUAUUUCCUCAUUUUAACAAUGAAGGGCGCACACUAGAUUUAUUCAGUUCUCAUUAACCCAGCAAACAUUUAUUGAGUGCUUACUAUGUGACUGAUUCCAAGAAUGCAGAGACACGACACUUUCAGAAUAGAAUACAGUGAGAGCCAGGCGGCUCGGGAUCAUCUGUGAUUACCACUCCAGGUUCAACCCUACUUAAUUCUUGCUGAAACAAUUGUUAGCAAGACUCUCUCUCUAACCUCCCACCCUUUCUUCUAACUCUAAUUUAUCUUCAUACUCUUGCCAAAGCCACUUUUAAAAGAAGUGCAACUCUGACCCUAUCACUCCUCAGUGAAAAACCUUCCAUGACUCCCUAGUCUCCAAAUGGAACACAAACAGAACACAACGGGAAACACAUUUCCAAGGAUCACAGGCAGCUUGGAACACAAUUCCAAGGCCCAGAGAGAUGGAACACAAUUCCAAGCUGCUUGUGAUCUUGGAAAUGUGAGCUGCCUCAGACAUAACUCUGCCUGUGCCACCCAGGCCUGUAGGAUGGUGAGGAGGAAGAAGUCCUGGCCAGCAGAGUUCUAGUUCUGCAGACCCUGAGUCCAGUGACUGAAAAAAUGAAAGAAUAGGAUUCUCAUGCGACAUUUGACAAAAUUCUGCACUUCCUUGGGCUUCAUGUGACAUUUCUCCUAGAUAAACCUGGUUAAAUUCCUGUCUGUAUUUCAAAACCUACAAAAAUUUUGAAGUGACAGAAAAUGGGCAUGUUGGCUCAAGACUCAAGACUCUCAACAGCAUGAGUUUGCAGUCUACUGCAGCAACUGGGGCCACUGUCUUCAACAACCAGCAUCCUGAAUAGGGUCCCUGGGGCUUGGUUACUGCAGUUAACCUAGGUGGGCUGGAGGGAGAACUUGUUCCCCAACUUCAGGUGCAGCCACUGAUGUCUAUAUGGUUGUCUACCCCUGAAAAAGAGUGAAGGAGCUGUUAUCAGUGAAUCAAUGAGACUUUAUUGAGCAUAUUCUCUACUACUCUUUUUAUGCCAAAUUUGCUGGUUACGAAAGAAACCCAAGAUGCUUCCUUGCACCAGAAGUCUGCCAAAUUUUCUGCAUUCCAGGGCUUGGCAUCAUUUUAUAAAUUGGCCAGUCCAAACUCCAGCUGAGGUGGGUCUGAGUCAGCUUAGCAUUCUGUCUGGAACUCUGUUUUGUAGUCUGUGCAUCCGUCUGUGAAGCCUGCCUCAACUGGUGCAAAAUGGUUGCCUUGUUUUGGGGAGGUAGGUGGUCUGAGUUUCGUUAUAAGAUGUUCAAGUGGGACAGGAAGCCUUCAAAACAAGAGGGAGAUCCAAGAUGUUCAGAGUCUGUUAGCCUCUUAAAAAACCUUCUGUCUCUGUCACAGAGCGGAAAGGCCACCAGAGCCUAGUACGCACUUCCUAUGGUGUGACUGAGCUUAGGAACUCCCUGAGCCAGUUUCUACCUUGUUAUUGUGAGGACAGUGGCUAGUGCUCAACUGAUAUUUCUUGAAUUUGUUGCAUGUAGAAUAUCUGGAUUGGACUCCAUUGAUGGUUUUUAUCUGUAUCCCUUUGCUGGGUUUUUAGAAACUCUUUUCUGAAUGUGCCCAAAGUGUUUAUUUUGAAAGAUACUUUCUGACUCACUGCUUUCCUUGUUCUGAUGGGAAGAUAUUUGUUCUGGUUGCCUCUCCUCUACCUCUCCUCACAACCACUGGAAUGUCAACUCUAAGAAGUCAGGGCCUUACUUUCCUUGAUGACUGUUCCACCAUCAAUGCCAAAUACAGACUAGAUGACGGUGGGAUAACAUUCAGCGAAAAUAUUUGCUGAAUGAAUGAAUGCAUGAAAGAAUGAAUGAAUGGAUGGAUGAAUGAUCAGCUGUCUGGGACUUACCUCUCUUGUGUGUGUGUGUGUGUGUGUGUGUGUGUGUGUGUCGUGGGAGUAAUGUGAUGUGAUGAUUAGAAGCUAUGGAGUCAGAUUGCCCAGAUUAGAUCCCUGGCUCUUUUCCUUAUAAACUGUGUGUUUUAGCCAAGUUUCUUAACCUCACUCUGUCUGUUUCCUCAUAUGUAAAAUGAGGCUAAUGCUUCAACCAUUGUUAUGAGGAUUAAGUGAACUGAUAUGUGUAAAGUAUUUAGAAUAGUUCCUCACACAUAGUCAACGCUCCAGAAGUCUUAGCUAUGCUUGGUGUUGUGAGCUGGGACUCCUGGAGUUGUUUUAUCUCCACCCACCUCUCUCCACUUCUGUUUUUUUAUGACGUGAUUGUGUGUAUUUGUGGAACACAGUAAUUAAGGGAGUUUUUUUUUAAAGAAAAAAGUACUCAUGCCAAUCAUUUUAUAUUUAUUGUGUGCCUGUUACAUUUAUUACCUUUUUCUUAAAAAAAUGUAGUAUUUUCUCCCAUAGAGAGUGAUAGCAACACUGGGCUCAAGUCAAAAUCGUUCAUAUUUGUUAUUAAUGAAAAAAUAGUAAUAAUACUAGCUAUCAUUUUUAGAGUCUUUUCUAUAUUCUGGGCGUUGUACACUUUGGUGGACCAGGGGUCAUGGAUACCCAGGUAUUGACUGAAUGUCAGACUUUGGGUUCACCGAGGCCAGGCUUAGCUUACUCUGUUCAUUGGUCUCACUCUAGUGUUACUGUGGCCGACAAAUGCCUCAUGUCGAUUUUAUGCUUACUUGAAUUGACUGCUCUAUCUUUGGAAGCAGAUUUCUAUUUUUUCUUUUGGACCUUCAAGAUGUCUAAAAUUUUGAGUUGUCAUUAUCUCUUUCUCACCCUUUCCUUUUUUUUCUUUCUACUGACAUUUCUAUUUUCAUCUCCUUUUCAUUUUCUUUGUCUCUUCAUUCAUUCAUUUAUUCGAGUUGCCUUCCCACCAAAUUAUAGAAGUGGUGGUUGAAAAACAGCAGUACAGCUGCCAGCCCUACAGCUCCACCUGUGACCGAGAGUUGCCCGGGAGCAUGGCAUAUAUGCAAAUAGACUUGUCUUCACAUGUUAGAGCCUUUUUCUUUUUAUAGUAAACUGUACCUUUGAUUCAUAAGGAAAUGGACUUUGGCUUUAUUGUAAUUCCUAUUUCCAUGGUGUUUGGUCACAAAUCAUGCAUUACACCUGGCGAAACUCCUGAGUCACUGGAGGGCUUGAAGUUUCAGGAAGAGGAAGAGGAGGAGGUCCCUGUGUGGCAUCUUCAGAAGGGAGGAUGGUUGACAAGUAUUAUUACCUCGAUCACUGGACAAACUCCCUUCACUUUACUCCUUUGGGCCUUUAGUUCAAGGGGAACAGGGCAUUGGUCAGCAGUUGAUCAAAUCAACAGCAUCCCUGAUGUAUAUUUUUUGGGGGGCUCUGGCCCCUUGGGGGUUUUAAAUGCUGCACGGAGAAGAAAUGAGGCUGAGAGCUUUGAGUCCUGGACAGGCAGAGUGUGUGCCAGGUCACAGGGUCACUGGAUCACUAUUUCUUGGGAGAACCAUAGGAAUGAGAUUGUUUCUGGGUGUGGAGUGUUCAUGAAGCCAAGCUCCCUCAUCUGUGUGGGAAAUGAUGGUUAUGUGUUUUGCUAGACAAAGGAUGUUCCACGCUACACUUAAGCUGGAGGCUUUUGUUUUUCUUGGUAAUCAGGGUAUUCUAGGGGCAUUCCAAUGAAGAAAACUUGGAAGGGGAUAGGUAAAAAAGGAGAUCUUGAGAUAAAGGAAGGACUAGUUUUCAGUUGUCUAGGGUUGUGUUUCCUAAAUCUCAAAGCAUUGUCACCUGAAAUGUUGGUUACUAUGCAGCCAUAAAAAAUGAUGAGUUAGUGUCUUUUGUAGGGACAUGGAUGAACCUGGAAACCAUCAUUCUCAGCAAACUGACACAAGAACAGAAAAUCAAAAACUGCAUGUUCUCACUCACAGGCUGGAAUGUGGGUAGCAUGAUCACAGCACACCUUGACCUACUGGGCUCCAGCAAUCCUCCAGUCUCCACCUUCAAGUAGCAGAGACUACAGGCACAUGCCACCGCAUCUGGCUAAUUUUAAUAUUUUUUUUUUUUGUGGAAAUGAGAUCUCACUAUGUUGCCUAGGCUGGUCUUGAACUUUUGGGCUCAAGUGUUCCUCCCACCUUGGCCUCCCAAAGUGCUGGGAUUGCAGGUGUGAGCCACCAUGCCUGGACAGCAACUUGUUUUUAAAGCUUUAAGAAAACUCCUGUAAUAAACUUUACCCAGUUGUUGAUGACCUUUUGCUCUCAUAUGCCUUGCAACAUCCUCCUGGGUCACUCUUCAUUUGAAUGCUUCCACCAAGAGCAAUUUUAAUGGGAGUCUUGAAGGUCUGAAGACAUCUUUGUUAUUCUACAGUAUUAAAAUAACUAUUUG